rnacentral:rRNA from 1 species
GAUGAACGCUGGCGGCGUGCCUAAUACAUGCAAGUCGAGCGAACGGACGAGAAGCUUGCUUCUCUGAUGUUAGCGGCGGACGGGUGAGUAACACGUGGAUAACCUACCUAUAAGACUGGGAUAACUUCGGGAAACCGGAGCUAAUACCGGAUAAUAUUUUGAACCGCAUGGUUCAAAAGUGAAAGACGGUCUUGCUGUCACUUAUAGAUGGAUCCGCGCUGCAUUAGCUAGUUGGUAAGGUAACGGCUUACCAAGGCAACGAUGCAUAGCCGACCUGAGAGGGUGAUCGGCCACACUGGAACUGAGACACGGUCCAGACUCCUACGGGAGGCAGCAGUAGGGAAUCUUCCGCAAUGGGCGAAAGCCUGACGGAGCAACGCCGCGUGAGUGAUGAAGGUCUUCGGAUCGUAAAACUCUGUUAUUAGGGAAGAACAUAUGUGUAAGUAACUGUGCACAUCUUGACGGUACCUAAUCAGAAAGCCACGGCUAACUACGUGCCAGCAGCCGCGGUAAUACGUAGGUGGCAAGCGUUAUCCGGAAUUAUUGGGCGUAAAGCGCGCGUAGGCGGUUUUUUAAGUCUGAUGUGAAAGCCCACGCCUCAACCGGGGAGGGUCCUUGGAAACUGGAAAACUUGAGUGCAGAAGAAGGAAAGUGGAAUUCCCUGUGUAGCGGCGAAAUGCCCCGAGAUAUGGAGGAACACCCCCGGCGAAGGCGACUUUCUGGUCUGUAACUGACGCUGAUGUGCGAAAGCGUGGGGAUCAAACACGAUUAGAUACCCUGUAGGUCCCCCCCGUAAACGAUGAGUGCUAAGUGUUAGGGGGUUUCCCCCCCUUAGUGCUGCAGCUAACGCAUUUAAGCACUCCGCCUGGGGAGUACGACCGCAAGGUUGAAACUCAAAGGAAUUGACGGGGACCCGCACAAGCGGUGGAGCAUGUGGUUUAAUUCGAAGCAACGCGAAGAACCUUACCAAAUCUUGACAUCCUUUGACAACUCUAGAGAUAGAGCCUUCCCCUUCGGGGGACAAAGUGACAGGUGGUGCAUGGUUGUCGUCAGCUCGUGUCGUGAGAUGUUGGGUUAAGUCCCGCAACGAGCGCAACCCUUAAGCUUAGUUGCCAUCAUUAGGUUGGGCACUCUAAGUUGACUGCCGGUGACAAACCGGAGGGAGGUGGGGAUGACGUCAAAUCAUCAUGCCCCUUAUGAUUUGGGCUACACACGUGCUACAAUGGACAAUACAAAGGGCAGCGAAACCGCGAGGUCAAGCAAAUCCCAUAAAGUUGUUCUCAGUUCGGAUUGUAGUCUGCAACUCGACUACAUGAAGCUGGAAUCGCUAGUAAUCAUAGAUCAGCAUGCUACGGUGAAUACGUUCCCGGGUCU